GAUGAACGCUAGCGGCAGGCCUAAUACAUGCAAGUCGAACGGGAUCCAGAUCAAAGCUUGCUUUGGUUUGGUGAGAGUGGCGUACGGGUGCGUAACGCGUGAGCAACCUACCCUUGUCAGGGGGAUAGCCCGGCGAAAGUCGGAUUAAUACCGCAUGACAUCAUUGAGAGGCAUCUUUCGAUGAUCAAAGAUUUAUCGGACAAGGAUGGGCUCGCGUGACAUUAGCUAGUUGGUAAGGUAACGGCUUACCAAGGCUACGAUGUCUAGGGGCUCUGAGAGGAGAAUCCCCCACACUGGUACUGAGACACGGACCAGACUCCUACGGGCGGCAGCAGUAAGGAAUAUUGGUCAAUGGACGGAAGUCUGAACCAGCCAUGCCGCGUGCAGGAAGGCGGCCCUAUGGGUUGUAAACUGCUUUUAUACGGGAACAAACGUCGGUACGUGUACCGGUCUGAGUGUACCGUAAGAAUAAGGAUCGGCUAACUCCGUG
rnacentral:rRNA from 1 species